GGGAAUAUUGGACAAUGGGCGAAAGCCUGAUCCAGCCAUGCCGCGUGUGUGAAGAAGGUCUUCGGAUUGUAAAGCACUUUAAGUUGGGAGGAAGGGCAGUAAAUUAAUACUUUGCUGUUUUGACGUUACCGACAGAAUAAGCACCGGCUAACUCUGUGCCAGCAGCCGCGGUAAUACAGAGGGUGCAAGCGUUAAUCGGAAUUACUGGGCGUAAAGCGCGCGUAGGUGGUUCGUUAAGUUGGAUGUGAAAUCCCCGGGCUCAACCUGGGAACUGCAUUCAAAACUGACGAGCUAGAGUAUGGUAGAGGGUGGUGGAAUUUCCUGUGUAGCGGUGAAAUGCGUAGAUAUAGGAAGGAACACCAGUGGCGAAGGCGACCACCUGGACUGAUACUGACACUGAGGUGCGAAAGCGUGGGGAGCAAAAGCAGGAUU
rnacentral:rRNA from 1 species